rnacentral:lncRNA from 1 species
UCUUCAUGCAGAUUUCAACGGAACUAUCAUGCAGUUCCAAUGGAUGAAACUUUUAGGUGGAAACAAUACCAUCAGACGCCAGAUUUAUAUGCUUUGCGGGGUGAUGAUGUAUCUAUUGUUUAUGAUGUGAAGAAAGGAGAUUACCAUACCUUAUCAGCCAUAUGCAAUAGGCAGGGUCAAGUUUGAUGCAUUCGAACCAGAAAGAUGGUUUCAUCACAUUGUUGCUUUCAUCCACAAAGCUUCUUUAAGUUUACAGUUUUGCAGAAACACAAGAGGGACAGAGAAUUUGUUUGGCUCAAGAAUUUGCGUAUGUGCAGAUGA